CCACUAGUGCGAGAAACAUGGCGGGUCAACGUCUUCCUCCCGCCGAUGGGCUUCAGCAAGGGUGUCAACAGACAAAGGUGAGGACGGUGAGCGCUGUGCUGACUGCUGAAGAGGAGGAUCGCUGAGUGUGUCUGGACUUGCUCCCUGUGACUGUCCAGGCCAGAGCACCGUCCUGUGAAGAGCCCACAACACAGCGGGGACACCAGUGGAGGAGAGCAUGACCUGCAAACCUCUUUUACCAAAUAUAACUUGUUAAGGAGAUACAAGUAAAAAAACGAGAAUAAAAGAGAAAAAAAAAAUCUAAUAAACUGCUGCAGGCUUAUUAUUAGUAGGAUGUUACUUGUCUGCACAGAU